UUCUGAUUCACUAUUCUCUCUCAUAUAAACCUUUCUCUCUCACAAAUCCCAUUGAUGUGUCAUUAAUUUCAAAUAAAGAUCGAAUUUGAAUGUAUUUCAUUAAGAGGUUAGUGAGUUUAUACUCAUUCAAUUCUAUGACAUUCUCUAUUUAUUUUUUAUGGAAAAUUUCAUCAUGUUUUCCUUGCACGAUUGUGUAGGUUGUGUAGGUUAGUGAAUAUAAAUUGAGUUUACAUAACCUACGUCUAAAUUUCAUGUUUUCUUGCACGAUGAACUCCUAACAUGGUAAAUUUCAUGUUUUAUUGCUUAGGUUAGUGAAUGUAAACUGAGUUUUCUUACACAAUGAUCUUGAACGAUGAACCCUAAACCCGUGAGGGGUGAGUGCACUAAAAAGUGUGAAUGUUCAUUAGGAUUCUUUCUCACAUUACUAAAAAUAAAUGCAGUUUACGUCUGUACCUGAAAUGAAUUCACGUUAACCACUUCAAACCCAGAAAAUCAAAACACAAAUCAAAAUUGAGAGAUGAAACUCAAGAUCAACCUAAUUUCAUAAGGAACUUGCAGCAGAUUCACAAUCGAACUCAAAGAAAUCGCAGAAUCAUGAAUGAAUUGGUAACUCAAAAACUUACCUUUCAAAUUGAGUUUCAAAAGCAUAGUUGGAGAUGAACG
rnacentral:lncRNA from 1 species